UACGGAGGAUCCGAGCGUUAUCCGGAUUUAUUGGGUUUAAAGGGAGCGUAGGUGGACUGGUAAGUCAGUUGUGAAAGUUUGCGGCUCAACCGUAAAAUUGCAGUUGAUACUGUCAGUCUUGAGUACAGUAGAGGUGGGCGGAAUUCGUGGUGUAGCGGUGAAAUGCUUAGAUAUCACGAAGAACUCCGAUUGCGAAGGCAGCUCACUGGACUGCAACUGACACUGAUGCUCGAAAGUGUGGGUAUCAAACAGG
rnacentral:rRNA from 2 species